rnacentral:lncRNA from 1 species
UGGAAUGCUUUCAAAUUAAAAAAUAGCAAACAAUAUUAUAUAGAGAGAACCUUUUCUGUUGGAUAAUACAUCCACUGAUACAGAAUGAGCAGUGGAGUAGUCAUUUCACUAAUUUGGUGUCCUAUGGAGCCAGGAGCAGGUAGACUGGUCUAGUAAAUGGAUUUUGUUUCGUUUUCCAAAAAUUAAAUACAUGUAUUGCAUUUCCUGAAGGGCUUGGGGGAAUCUGUUGGAUUUCACAGUGAAUGGGCUUAAUAUCACACAUGUUAUUGUAAACGUCCAUGAUUUGGAAGGGCUUGCUAGAGCUGCGACCAGAUAUAAGGAAUUUACGUGCUUUCUUUUCAGGCCUUAGGGUGGAAGGCAGACCCUCUCGGAUGCGUAAUGUAACAGCGCCGCCUGCUGGUGAUAUUGGACAACAACAAGCACGCUGGUGUGGACACGCACAGAUCCGCUCAAACUGCCUCGUAGAUACUGACUUGGAUUCUGUUCCUCAUUUGUUCAGACUGCCAUGGCUCCAUAUAUAAAGGACAUUCACCGAAAAGGUGCUGGUGGCUCAGAUGGCAAUCAAAUGGUGAUCAAAACUAUCCAAGAAUGCAAAAUGGCAAAAUGGUUGUCUGAGGAGACAUUACAAAUAGCUGAGAAAAGAAGAG